UUGAUUUCACACUGCCGAGAAAAGCCUCUAGAUAGAUAACAGGUGCCCGUACCGCAAACCGACACAGGUAGUCGAGGCGAGUAGCCUCAGGUGAGCGAGAGAACUCUCGUUAAGGAACUCGGCAAAAUGACCCCGUAACUUCGGGAGAAGGGGUGCUCUUUAGGGUUCACCCCAGAAUAGCCGCAGUGAAUAGGCCCAAGCGACUGUUUAUCAAAAACACAGGUCUCUGCUAAACCGUAAGGUGAUGUAUAGGGGCUGACGCCUGCCCGGUGCUGGAAGGUUAAAAGGAGUGG
rnacentral:rRNA from 1 species